CACUAUGAUCACUGAAAAUCCACUCUCAGUGUCCUCUCAUGUGAAGGCCACAUUGCCCAAAGGCUGCACCCUUCACACUGGGAAGUUGAGAGGUUGCCCAGGUUACAAAGAGCAGAACCCUCUAUAUAGUCCUUAAUGUCCUCCAGGCAGCCUGCUAGCUGCCCUCUGCAGAUGGCCAGUAGGCCUGGGACUGGUGUUCCAGAGCAAGGGGAUAAGUCUCCCAGGACAGAUGAAUGUCCUGCCACCUAGGACUAUUUAGAAAGCCAGUUUCUGUGCCAGGCGUGGUGGUGCAUUCCUGUAAUUCCAGCACUCAGGAGCCCGAGGCAGGAGGAUUGCUGCAAGGCCAGGCUGGACUAUCUACUGAGACCCUCAAACAAAGAUUUGUCUCAAAGCCAACUUCUGACCUGACCACUAAAAGUGGGAUCCUUCCCAUCAGGACACAGGUGUGCAUCCAGAGUACAAUGGUUCGUCUUCGGCUUUCUGGCUCUCCUGGUGCAUGGCCCUAUUCCUAGAGGGCUUAUUGUUAUAGGUGCAGAUUUUCUGAGCCCUAGAGUAAAUUUCACCCACUCUCUCACUUGAAAAACUCACCUCCAUCUUACCACAGAUCUGGUGGUCUCUCCUGAGUCUCCAAAAGAGCCUCACUUCUUUCUGGUCUGAUCCUCAUUUCCUGCAUGGUAUUCUCGAAGGCCCAGCUCCCCUCAAAUCCCUCUCUCACUGCAGCUUUUGCUUCCAGGAUUCCUAGGCCCAUCCUCUCCACCAUUCCGGCGCGCGCUCAGAGGACAGAGGAUAGAACAGCCUGAAGUGGGCUUAGGAAGCUUUGAGUGUGAGUGACCUCGGGGGCAGCCAAAUGGCCCUAAAGGAACAGUAAGCCUAAGGAGCUCUUUCGUGAAGGGGUGGCUCAGGGCUGGGGGAGGUGGGUGGCCCAGUUUAAAGACAGAUUCCCUUGAGUUAAGGGAACAGGCCGAGAAGUCAUAUGACCAAGUGACAUCGUGAUUCACGAGACUGUACCUCAGACUCAAGCCAAUCUGCACGACCGCUGCUUCUGAACGCGGAGCCCUGGAGGAGUCGCCAGGAACAGAGCUAGACAUCCCGGAGGGGACCUGGAAGAGGCUGGGAGCAACCACGGGAUGGCCUGACCCCUCCGCAGAUAGACCUCCUAGCUCUCAACUUGGUCCAAGAACAUCAAGACCCUCAGCCCUGCCUUGGACCUAUGGGAGUCGUAGUCCGGACGUGAGUCCCAGCGUCCCGUGCGCCGCUGACGCACCGUAGCCGAGGGACCCGGCCGGGCGCCACGCUACGGAGGCGGCGUAAAGCGAGUCGUGUUUGGGCGGCUCUACGGAGGCUGCGUAAGAAGGCCGGGCCGGGAGCUCCGCGGCUGAGGCGUGCUGGUCGGGGCAGCGCGCCCAGGGACGAGUAAGGCUGCACCAUUCUCCUUGAAGUUGAGGAUCAGUCCACGGAGACGCCAUUCAGCCGCAAACGCUAAAGAGGCCCCGCUGCUCUCAGAGCCAGCCGCCCUGUCUCCGCCGUGGGCACUCUGCUCUCUCCAUGCUCCCGUUCGUGUGUUGCCGGCCAGAGGUGACCAGGCCCAGCUCUCAGCGUGGCCACUGUCAGGGAGGCCAUGGGGAGCUCCGCCUCCUCCCUGGCCACCGAGACAGAGUCAGACCAUGGCUUCCCUAGGGGGCUGCCCUACCCAGGGACCCCAGCAGCGGCUGGGUGGUGUAGGAGUGGCCCUGGGGCCCCCGUCUGGGGGAGUGCCCUGGUCACCAGGCAGCACCCACGCCCCCGGGCCCGAAGAAGCUGCCUGGAGACCCUCUUGGACCAGGAAAGCUGCUGACCCCAGCCCUCAUGACUAUGACUCCCACAGUCUGCCAUCUGCUGGCAUGGUGAGAGGACCAGCGUGGAGCUGUGGGCAGCACACAGUAGACUGGACUCCUCAGGGGGCUUUGACGUAAGAUUUGAACUCCUGGAGAUGAAGGACAUGAAGGUGUCUUUGAGGCUGUGGGAGAAUCCAAAGUCCUAAGAACUACCCUUGUGAAUGGGAGCUGAAAUCUAGGGAGGACAGGAGCAGAAUAGCAGCAGAGACCAGUGAGAAGGGGGGUGGCCAGGCCUGGUGGCUGCACACUGCUUUUCCUGCACAUGAUGGUGUUAAGAGUGCAUCCGCAGAACCUCUCCAUACUUUGUCACUCUGGGGAACACCUCUAUGUGUCUUUUCAAAUAGCUUUAUUGAGAUAUGGCAUAUCCCAUCAAAUCACCUGUUAGUACAGUCAUUUCCAACCAGUUUAUAGCUUUGUUCAGACAUCCUCACAAACCAGUUAUAACAUCUCUGUACUCCAAAGAGAUCCUCCUGCCUGUUUGUAGUCGCUCCCUCCCUAUCAUGGUCCUAGACAGCGACUAACCUGCUGCCUGUCUAUAGGUUUGCCUUUUCUAGAAGUUUCACAUAAGCGGAGUCAUACAGUGUGUGGCCUUAUGAUCUGGCUGCUUUUACUCAGCA
ensembl:lncRNA